GACGAACAAAGAUUAAUUGCAAAUACAAGUACAAAUACACUGGGCAUAUCCAAAUGAGCGACAUGGAAAGAUGAAUAAAGACGAGAUCUAAAUACCCAAAGUAGAAAACUCAAAUUGAAUCAAAACAUAAGAAUACAAAAAAGAACAUAAUUUUGUAUAUGUGUGUUUUGAUCAUUCAAAUAGUACUCUCAACCUGGGGUUUAAAUCCUCAAAAAUCCUCCUGUUACGUGCCGUCCAUAAUUGGUAAACAAUGCUUGCAAGAGCUAUCCGCUUUGCUUUGCCAAGUAGUUCUUCAAGCCUUUUUUUUAAUCCACUUCAAUGCACUAGGUAGAGUAGACAUGGAGCGGCUAAUGCCCAACCGAUCACGGAUUUGUCCCCUACAGCAAAACUGAUUGGACAGGAGAAAAAAAUUGGUGCUCAAUCUCGUCUGCAGUUACAUGGAAAAUAUACCUUCGGUCAAUUUCCAAAUGCUUCAAUUUGUCCUUUGUUAGUAACUUCGAUUUAGCUCCUAAACAAAGGAUAAAAGCAUGUUUCAAGGUGAUGUAAACAUUCCAAAUAGUGCUAUCCAGUCUGAUUCAUCCCCUUUGGCCUAGGAAAAUCAUAAGUUACUGUCACACUGAAUGUGCCUGAGACUAUGCAUGUUGCCAAUCUGUCCAUUGCAGCGUGAGUUGCUUGAUCAGACCGUGCACUGCCCAUUGGUCAUAUAUAAUCUUUUCCCCAUCUUUUUUCAAUAAAGGCAAAACUAGCUUGGACUAGUCUGUUAGCCUUUUAUUAGUUGUGAUGGCUUUGGCAUAGGCAAUGUCUUGUCUUAUGUCGAUGCAUUAAAGUACAGAUAUUCAAGAGUUGUGCAUAUUUUAUAAGGCAACGAUUGAUAUGAUGCUGAUGCAUGUGGUGGGGAUUUCUUGACAACAUGUGCAAUAUUGUCGAUGGAAGUAUAGAAUUUCUUGACGAUGGACGAGGACGAAG
rnacentral:lncRNA from 1 species